UACGAAGGGUGCAAGCGUUACUCGGAAUUACUGGGCGUAAAGCGUGCGUAGGUGGUGAGUUAAGUCUGUCGUGAAAGCCCCCGGCUCAACUGGGGAGGGUCACGCGAUACUGAUCGACUGGAAGGCAGGAGAGGGUAGUGGAAUUCCCGGUGUAGUGGUGAAAUGCGUAGAUAUCGGGAGGAACACCAGUGGCGAAGGCGACUACCUGGCCUGUUCUUGACGCUGAGGCGCGAAAGCUAGGGGAGCAAACGGG
rnacentral:rRNA from 1 species